AGAAUCAACGCUGGCGGCGUGCCUAACACAUGCAAGUCGCACGAGAAAGGGACUUCGGUCCUGAGUAAAGUGGCGCACGGGUGAGUAACACGUGAAUCAUCUACCUCCGAGUGGGGAAUAACCUAGAGAAAUCUGGGCUAAUACCGCAUAACACUUACGAGUCAAAGCAGCAAUGCGCUUGGAGAGGAGUUCGCGGCAGAUUAGUUAGUUGGCGGGGUAAUGGCCCACCAAGACUGUGAUCGGUA
rnacentral:rRNA from 1 species